CCCAUUUUCUCAAUUCUAUGAAAGGCUCAUUUAACUUAAUAGUUAUGCAAGUCCACACCUGUCUGAAUGAUACACUGGCUCAUUCAUUUAGUUGAAAGGUAGACACCAAAUUGAUUUUUAAAAAGACAUACGAACCUAAUUGAAAAAAAAUUCAUGAAUCACCUUAAUGAGGAAUUGGUACCAGGAAAUGCAGUACAGAGAACCUCAGACAAUUUGCUUUUGGAAAAGCGCUAAUCAACCACAUAUUCAUCUGGAAUGAAAAUGCCUCUCUAGCAAGACAUUGUGUGAUAAUGAAGUACAGGAGCUGUUGUUCAUCAUUUCCUUCCCUAAUUUGUUCCAAGAUUAGCUGACUUGUCACAGUCAUUUCCUCGUGGUCCACCACCCUGCCAUGACGGUUGAAGAGCAUAAAGGAGAAAACUUGGACAGAAGAAAACUUGAAAGUGUCCUUCAAAGAGCAGCUCAGUGGACGUGCCCUUCUCAAAACACUGGAUCUUUUCUUUUGAGAUGACCGGGGGGAGGGGUACAAAGUUGAAAAAGGGACCCCCCACAGAUACAUUUGCUACCACCUGUUGUGAAAUGUUGAACCUGCAAAAGAGGCACAGAUAGUGUCCUACUUUCUUAACUAGUAACAGCUGUUUCUGAAAAUAACAGAAACAGAAGCCAAUCCUUUAUGCAAGCUCACUUGUUGCAUGUAUUUCAGAAAUCUAAUACAAAUUUACAACAUCUCUAAUAACCGAGUUUUACACUUUAAAAAGAUCUUGAAAAUACAUACAGAAAAGAAGUCCUCCUUACAAGCAUUGUUUGGAGGGAAAAAUACAGUACAAAGUAAAGAGGGAGACACUUAUAGAUAGGUAACCAAGAUUAUGUAGCCCACUUCUUGCCAGCCCUCUUUUCACAGUUUUCUUAGUUCUAAUGUAAACAAUAUCCCAUAAUUAUUCAAUUCAACCUCCUUAGAAGCUUCUGUUGGUGAGUCCUGAACUCCAAAGGAAGCUUCACAGCACCCAAAGAUCCUAACCUUUCUGUGCCAAAACGCACUAUGUAUGUUUUUUCUGACCCUCCUAAACUAUACCCUGUCCCAUCUCAACAAUUGGCUACCCUAGCCAACACUUCUUAUCCUUGCCUAUCACUCUGCUGGUUUAGGUACUUAGCUUAACUUCUAAUAUCGGAUCCAUCAUUGUUUUGUCAAACAAGGUAACUUUUCAACACAUCUUUGAGACACUCCUUUGCACCCUCUCUCAUUCUCAGGAUAGCAUCAUUGACUGGACUUGCUUCAUUACUAUGGCUUUGCAGAAUGGAUCAACCUCAGGUAGCCCUAUUACAAAAGACCCCACACUUGAUGGAUCAGCUGUCACUACACAGAGCGAUAAACUGGCUCAUCUGGUCUUGUGGUCCUCACGCAGGAACUGACUCAGCUCAAGAGAAAAGCUUCAACUCCCUAUGAUUUCAUCUUUGACCCGACCAACCAGAGCUCCUGACUCACCCACCCACUACCCACCAAAUUAUCCUUAAGAACUCUGAUCCCUGAAUGCUCGGGAAAUUCAUUUGAGUAAAAAUAAAACUCCAGUCUCCUGUACAGCCAGCUCUGUGUAAAUUACUCUUUCUCUGUUGUAAUUCCCGUCUUGAUAAAUUGGCUCAGUCUAGUCAGUGAGCAAGGUGACAAGUCCAAGAGAAAAAAAUAUUUUUUGAAAUACACAUAUGUGAGUGCAUGUACACAUUCCUUGUUCUCAAAACUUACUGUAACAGAACUCAAUGUUAACGUCAUUCCUCGCUAAGUUACAAAGUUAAGAAUAACACAGUGGUGUGAAUUUUUUAAUCAAAGAAGUACAAGGUAUUUUUAGAUUGUUUCUAAUGACAGAGUUUUACUGAUGUUCUUGUUUCCAUGCAUCUCCACAUAUCUCCACAACUGGAAAUUCCACUAGCAGUAUUCUUUCAUGUAUUCCUUUCUUCAUUCAUUCACUAACUACUUUUUGGAAGGGUACCAUGUGCGAGACACUGUUCUUGAUACAGAGAUGAACAAAAAAGAAAAAAUCUUUGCCAUAAUGGACCUUGCAUUCAAGUGUGGGGAGACAAGAACAUGUAAACCAAUAAUACUUUCAAAUAGUCUGAUAUGAAGAAUAUGCAACGCAGUAAAGAGAUACAAAGAGAGAGGGAGCUAUGUUAGAGAGGCUGGCCAAGUAAGGAUUUGCUAAAUUUUCACAUUUGAAAGGAAACCUAAAUGAUGUUUAUUAUCACGGGGAUCUUGAGGAUAAGUACUGAUGGCACAGGAAGCAGAAGGUACAAAUCCCUGAGGCGGCAAUUCAAGGAAUAGAAAGGCCAGGUGGCUGGAACACAGUAAACUAUAACAGAUUGUCUCCAUUAAAUGCAAAGAAAUUUAACUGAAAACAUAGUAAACCCUUCAUAUAUUUCCUAAGAAAUGCUGCACCUGACAGGGAGAAAAUAGAAGUUUUAGAUGUGAAUGAUGGGUAUUCUGAUAGACUCAAUAGUUAAGAGACACUCUCUCUCACAUCAGUCUGGCAGAAAAUAUGAUUCAAAUGAGUACAGUAGGGAAUUUAUAAAUUAUUACAUGUCAUGACCUUUGGAGUCUGAGGUAGAUUAAAACCACAAGAAUUGAC
rnacentral:lncRNA from 10 species